rnacentral:tRNA from 1 species
AGUUAAUUAGUUGUCACAACGUUAAGAUGCAAGCUUAAAAAAAUGGAAUUUAUGUCCAUAUUAAUCU